rnacentral:misc_RNA from 1 species
CCGCCGCCGCCUUGUCACGCUCCAACAAACCCGAAUCCGUGCAGCUGCAGUUGAGACCCUUGGCGCCACUGCCGAGACUUCAUUGGUUGAGAAAUCUGUAAAUACAAUUAGAUUUCUCGCUAUUGAUGCUGUGGAAAAGGCCAAUUCAGGUCACCCUGGUCUGCCUAUGGGCUGUGCCCCGAUCGGUCAUAUUUUAUACGAUGAAAUUAUGAGAUAUAAUCCUAAGAAUCCGUAUUGGUUCAAUCGCGAUCGCUUCGUCUU